GACGAACGCUGGCGGCGUGCUUAACACAUGCAAGUCGAACGGAGCGAAUGAAAGCUUGCUUUUAUGAGCUUAGUGGCAAACGGGUGAGUAACACGUAGACAACCUGCCGACAGGAUGGGGACAACAUUCCGAAAGGAAUGCUAAUACCGAAUGAAGCGGAGGAGAGGCAUCUCUCCUCCGUGAAAGAUGGCCUCUGAAUAUGCUAUCACCUGUCGAUGGGUCUGCGUCUGAUUAGCUAGUUGGUGAGGUAACGGCUCACCAAGGCGACGAUCAGUAGCCGGUCUGAGAGGAUGAACGGCCACAUUGGGACUGAGACACGGCCCAGACUCCUACGGGAGGCAGCAGUGGGGAAUCUUCCGCAAUGGGCGCAAGCCUGACGGAGCAACGCCGCGUGAGUGAAGAAGGUCUUCGGAUCGUAAAGCUCUGUUGACGGGGACGAACGUGCGAGAGGUGAAUAAUCUC
rnacentral:rRNA from 1 species